GACGAACGCUGGCGGCGUGCUUAACACAUGCAAGUCGAACGGAAAGGCCCUUCGGGGUACUCGAGUGGCGAACGGGUGAGUAACACGUGGGUGAGCUGCCCUGCACUUUGGGAUAAGCCUGGGAAACUGGGUCUAAUACCGAAUAGGACCACGCGCUUCAUGGUGUGUGGUGGAAAGCUUUUGCGGUGUGGGAUGGGCCCGCGGCCUAUCAGCUUGUUGGUGGGGUAAUGGCCUACCAAGGCGACGACGGGUAGCCGGCCUGAGAGGGUGACCGGCCACACUGGGACUGAGAUACGGACCAGACUCCUACGGGAGGCAGCAGUGGGGAAUAUUGCACAAUGGGCGCAAGCCUGAUGCAGCGACGCCGCGUGAGGGAUGACGGCCUUCGGGUUGUAAACCUCUUUCAAUAGGGACGAAGCGCAAGUGACGGUACCUAUAGAAGAAGCACCGGCCAACUACGUG
rnacentral:rRNA from 1 species